CCCUAUGGGUCGUAAACUGCUUUUGUACGAGAAAAAACCUCUUUACGUGUAAAGAGCUGAUUGUAUCGUAAGAAUGAGGAUCGGCUAACUCCGUGC
rnacentral:rRNA from 1 species